UAAAAAGUUUUNUCUNGUANGCUGGCGGCGUGCCUAAUACAUGCAAGUCGAGCGAACAGNUAAGGAGCUUGCUCCUUUGAAGUUAGCGGCGGACGGGUGAGUAACACGUGGGUAACCUACCUAUAAGACUGGGAUAACUUCGGGAAACCGGAGCUAAUACCGGAUAACAUUUAGAACCGCAUGGUUCUAAAGUGAAAGAUGGUUUUGCUAUCACUUAUAGAUGGACCCGCGCCGUAUUAGCUAGUUGGUAAGGUAACGGCUUACCAAGGCGACGAUACGUAGCCGACCUGAGAGGGUGAUCGGCCACACUGGAACUGAGACACGGUCCAGACUCCUACGGGAGGCAGCAGUAGGGAAUCUUCCGCAAUGGGCGAAAGCCUGACGGAGCAACGCCGCGUGAGUGAUGAAGGGUUUCGGCUCGUAAAACUCUGUUAUUAGGGAAGAACAAAUGUGUAAGUAACUGUGCACAUCUUGACNGUACCUAAUCAGAAAGCCACGGCUAACUACNUGCCAGCAGCCGCGGUAAUACGUAGGUGGCAAGCGUUNUCCGGAAAUAUNGGGCGUAAGCGCGCGUAGGCGGGUUCUUAUUUUUNUNUGNAAACCCCCGCUCACCCUGGAGGGCAUUGGAACUGGGAACUNANUGCNAAAAGAAAGNGANUUCCUNUUUCCCGUGAAUGCCCCAGNUUGGGGACCCNCUGCCNAGGG
rnacentral:rRNA from 1 species